rnacentral:rRNA from 1 species
CUUGGUCAUUUAGAGGAAGUAAAAGUCGUAACAAGGUCUCCGUUGGUGAACCAGCGGAGGGAUCAUUACCGAGUUUACAACUCCCAAACCCCUGUGAACAUACCUAUACGUUGCCUCGGCGGAUCAGCCCGCGCCCCGUAAAACGGGACGGCCCGCCCGAGGACCCUAAACUCUGUUUCUAUAUGUAACUUCUGAGUAAAACCAUAAAUAAAUCAAAACUUUCAACAACGGAUCUCUUGGUUCUGGCAUCGAUGAAGAACGCAGCAAAAUGCGAUAAGUAAUGUGAAUUGCAGAAUUCAGUGAAUCAUCGAAUCUUUGAACGCACAUUGCGCCCGCCAGUAUUCUGGCGGGCAUGCCUGUUCGAGCGUCAUUUCAACCCUCAAGCUCAGCUUGGUGUUGGGACUCGCGGUAACCCGCGUUCCCCAAAUCGAUUGGCGGUCACGUCGAGCUUCCAUAGCGUAGUAAUCAUACACCUCGUUACUGGUAAUCGUCGCGGCCACGCCGUAAAACCCCAACUUUUGAAUGUUGACCUCGGAUCA